rnacentral:piRNA from 1 species
UGAAAUCAUAUACAUACAAGCAACAGUAAAAG